CCUACGGGCGGCAGCAGUGGGGAAUAUUGCACAAUGGGGGAAACCCUGAUGCAGCGACGCCGCGUGAGUGAAGAAGUAUCUCGGUACGUAAAGCUCUAUCAGCAGGGAAGAAAAUGACGGUACCUGACUAAGAAGCCCCGGCUAACUACGUGCCAGCAGCCGCGGUAAUACGUAGGGGGCAAGCGUUAUCCGGAUUUACUGGGUGUAAAGGGAGCGUAGACGGCAGCACAAGUCUGGAGUGAAAUCCCGGGGCUUAACCCCGGAACUGCUUUGGAAACUGUGAGGCUGGAGUGCAGGAGGGGUAAGCGGAAUUCCUGGUGUAGCGGUGAAAUGCGUAGAUAUUAAGAGGAACACCGAUGGCGAAGGCGACUUACUGGACUGUAACUGACGUUGAGGCUCGAAAGCGUGGGGAGCAAACAGGAUUAGAUACCCCGGUAGUC
rnacentral:rRNA from 1 species